GACUUGGUUGGAUGGUCUUUCCUUAGGGAUUGUACUGUUUGACUGAGUCUUUCCUUCUGGCGAACUAUUGUGCUAUUAAUUUAGUGCGAUAGGGAACCAGGACUUUUACUUUGAAAAAAUUAGAGUGUUUAAAGCAGGCUCACGCUUGAAUACAUUAGCAUGGAAUAACGAAAUAGGACG
rnacentral:rRNA from 1 species